rnacentral:misc_RNA from 1 species
AUAUGAUAUUUAAAUAUGUCGCUUGUAUUGGUGGAGGCAGCCAAUGAGCGUGCACGACUUGACUCGACAGAGCACCUACAGCAACCGUCGCUCACAGGGCUAUCAGACAGUCCAGGCUCAGGGAUCGAAACUAUAAUAGAUGCUGGCGAUACGUCGCUGUUGGAAUCACAGAAUGACAUGGCAGAGACGACAACACCGCCACACUUCCCCGAGCUAACUUUCCCCCCUCUACCCGGUCCUCGCAAUCAAGAUGGCAGAGUUAAUCGUGGCUACACAUCGCCUGAUAUUGAACUCCAAAAUUAUAGCUUCUGUUCUGAUGAAAAAAACAGCCCUACAGCGUGUGACACCGCUUGCCGUGUAGCUCUUGCGCCCCGCACUCACAGUACUAUGAAAACAAAUCCACGCCCGCGCGCUCAGAUGGAACGUAUAUUGCCGCUAAAUGGCGGGCGAGGAGAGGAGGAUGGUAGAUCGCAAAGCGAGCCUGAGUGUAGUAGAGCUGAGGACAUUAAACACAAACUGAAAGAGUCGGCUAUUUCGGAUAUUGGUGCUGACUACAUGAGGGUUAACGGAGCCAUCACCUCUUUCAAACAACUGCAGAAACCUACUUCAAUGCAGUCUUUGCCGACAUCGUCCAAAAUGAGCUAUGCCUCGACAGAAGAGGCAGGUGUGGCUCUCGUUGGCAUUACGGAUUAUCAGAAAUAUUCCGAGGCAGAGCGAACUCAUCACAAAGCCAGGCAGAAAAAUGUUGGAUAUAGACUUGGGAAGAGGAAGGCGUUGUAUGAAAAGAGGAAAAAAAUAUCAGAUUAUUGUCUUGUGUUCGGAAUGUUCGGGAUUAUUACCAUGAUUCUCGAAACGGAACUAGUAAUGGCUGAUGUGUAUUCCAAGGGAACCUUCUACUCCAUUGCCAUGAAAUCCCUCAUUUCCAUAUCAACUGUGAUAUUAUUGGGUCUGAUUCUCGCCUAUCAUGCACUUGAAAUCCAGGAUACAGGAACAGAGUUAUUUGCUGUGGACAAUUGUGUUGAGGAUUGGAGAAUAGCAAUUUCCUGGAGGAGAACAAUCCAGCUUACAGUGGAAAUUGUCAUAUGUGCAGUGCAUCCCAUUCCAGGCAACUUUACCUUUGUAUGGACAACGCCAAAAACUGAUCAUCGUGACGCCCAGCACACUGUGGUUCCAGUUGAUAUUGUGCUCUCUAUUCCAAUGUACCUUCGUCUAUACCUUAUUUGUAGAGUUAUGUUGUUGCACAGCAAGCUGUUUACAGAUGCAUCUUCUCGAAGCAUAGGAGCUUUGAAUAGGAUUAAUUUUGAUACCAAGUUUGUGUUAAAGACAUGUAUGACCAUAUGUCCUGGAACUGUACUUCUUGUAUUUAUGCUGUCACUAUGGAUAAUAGCAAGCUGGCUUCUUCGAGCUUGUGAAAGGCACCAUGAUGACAAUCAUGCCAAUAUUUUGAACUCCAUGUGGAUGAUUGCAAUCACCUUCCUUUCCAUCGGUUAUGGAGACAUUGUUCCCAAUACUUACUGUGGACGGGGAAUUGCCAUAGCAACUGGUGUCAUGGGUGCUGGAUGCACAGCACUUGUCGUUGCUGUCAUUGCAAGAAAGCUUGAACUGAGCCGAGCAGAGAAACAUGUUCAUAAUUUCAUGAUGGAUACUCAGCUUACAAAGAGGCUAAAGAAUGCUGCAGCCAAUGUACUUCGUGAAACCUGGUUAAUAUACAAAUACACCAAAUUGGUGAAAAAGGUGAAUGGCAGUCGUGUGAGGUCGCAUCAAAGAAAGUUUCUCCAGGCAAUUCACAGACACAGACACACAUCCAGGACUUGGUAGCAGACAUGCACAGCAAUCAGGGAACUCUAGAAAAACGUGUGAACAAGAUUGAAGAAAAGUUAGCGUCAAUGCAGUCACAAUUGGAAGGACUUCCUAAAGUAAUUGCCCAAAGCCUUAUUGCCCAACAGCAAGAGCAGCAAGACCAACGGUGUUUACCUGCAGAUUGUGGGGCUACUGUCCGUCGUUUUUCACCACCG